UACGGGAGGCAGCAGUGGGGAAUAUUGCACAAUGGGCGCAAGCCUGAUGCAGCCAUGCCGCGUGUAUGAAGAAGGCCUUCGGGUUGUAAAGUACUUUCAGUCGUGAGGAAGGUGUUAAGGUUAAUAACCUUAGCAAUUGACGUUAGCGACAGAAGAAGCACCGGCUAACUCCGUGCCAGCAGCCGCGGUAAUACGGAGGGUGCGAGCGUUAAUCGGAAUUACUGGGCGUAAAGGGCACGCAGGCGGUUAAUUAAGUUGGAUGUGAAAUCCCCGGGCUUAACCUGGGAAUGGCAUUCAAGACUGGUUAGCUAGAGUCUUGUAGAGGGGGUAGAAUUCCGAUGUGUAGCGGUGAAAUGCGUAGAGAUGUGGAGGAAUACCGGUGGCGAAGGCGGCCCCUGGACAAAGGCUGACGCUCAUGUGCGAAAGCGUGGGGAGCAAACGAGGGAUUAGAUACC
rnacentral:rRNA from 1 species